rnacentral:rRNA from 1 species
UACAGAGGGGGCAAGCGUUAUUCGGAAUUAUUGGGCGUAAAGGGCGCGUAGGCGGCAUGGCAAGUGGAAGGUGAAAUCCCUCGGCUUAACCGAGGAACUGCCCUCCAAACUGCUUUGCUUGAGGCCGGGAGAGGCGAGUGGAAUUCCCAGUGUGGCGGUGAAAUGCGUAGAUAUUGGGAGGAACACCAGUGGCGAAGGCGGCUCGCUGGACCGGUUCUGACGCUGAUGCGCGAAAGCGUGGGGAGCAAACAGG